CCCCAGCUUGCUGGGGGGAUUAGUGGCGAACGGGUGAGUAACACGUGUAGUAACCUGCCCUUAACUCUGGGAUAAGCCUGGGAAACUGGGUCUAAUACCGGAUAUGACUGAUCAUCGCAUGGUGGUUGGUGGAAAGCUUUUUGUGGUUUUGGAUGGACUCGCGGCCUAUCAGCUUGUUGGUGAGGUAAUGGCUUACCAAGGCGACGACGGGUAGCCGGCCUGAGAGGGUGACCGGCCACACUGGGACUGAGACACGGCCCAGACUCCUACGGGAGGCAGCAGUGGGGAAUAUUGCACAAUGGGCGCAAGCCUGAUGCAGCGACGCCGCGUGAGGGAUGACGGCCUUCGGGUUGUAAACCUCUUUCAGUAGGGAAGAAGCGAAAGUGACGGUACCUGCAGAAGAAGCGCCGGCUAACUACGUGCCAGCAGCCGCGGUAAUACGUAGGGCGCAAGCGUUAUCCGGAAUUAUUGGGCGUAAAGAGCUCGUAGGCGGUUUGUCGCGUCUGCCGUGAAAGUCCGGGGCUCAACUCCGGAUCUGCGGUGGGUACGGGCAGACUAGAGUGAUGUAGGGGAGACUGGAAUUCCUGGUGUAGCGGUGAAAUGCGCAGAUAUCAGGAGGAACACCGAUGGCGAAGGCAGGUCUCUGGGCAUUAACUGACGCUGAGGAGCGAAAGCAUGGGGAGCGAACAGGAUUAGAUACCCUGGUAGUCCAUGCCGUAAACGUUGGGCACUAGGUGUGGGGGACAUUCCACGUUUUCCGCGCCGUAGCUAACGCAUUAAGUGCCCCGCCU
rnacentral:rRNA from 1 species